rnacentral:ncRNA from 1 species
GGGCUAACUAGAGCAUGUCUCCCGAAAGUGGGAACCGGUUUCGGGAUAAAGACAUGCGUAAAAACAAAUGGAUAGAGCAUUUCCAAUGAUUCAAUCAAAACAGGAAAUGCUCUAACUAUCGAGGAACAGAAAAGGCCGGGAAUUGCCCGGCCUUUUCAUUGCAUUUGUGA